CUUCAACUUGAGAUUGCUCCUUCAUUUUGAGUCCAAAUUAAGUGAUUCAAAAGGCAAACUUCAAGAGAAUUUCGAGGGGAAUCUAGCGGUGAUCUCAGAAACGCGAGGGGAGGCUUCGUUUGAGGUCCGAGCACUAGUAGCCAGCGUUGAUCGAGCUUGGAGUAGACUUAUCUGGAGACGGGGGUGAGCACACGGCGUUUUGUACUAUUUCAGUCUCCAUCUGUAUAUAUAGACUUGUCUUCUUCCUUUCGAGACAGUCCAGUCUCUGUUGUCCAGUUUUGGGACUUGUACUCAUUUUGUAGUAGCUCUGUACUGGUGACUUCCAGGUUCUGGGAGGGAUCUUUAUUUGUUUAUAUUGUUAUUUUCCUAC